UAUUGGACAAUGGGGGCAACCCUGAUCCAGCCAUGCCGCGUGUGUGAAGAAGGACUUCGGAUUGUAAAGCACUACACGUUGGGAGGAAGGGCGAUAGGUUAAUACCCAGAAGCUUUGACGUUACCAACAGAAUAAGCACCGGCUAACUCUGUGCGAGCAGCCGCGGUAAUACAGAGGGUGCAAGCGUUAAUCGGAAUUACUGGGCGUAAAGCGCGCGUAGGUGGUUCAGUAAGAUAGGUGUGAAAUCACCGGGCUGAACCUGGGAACUGCUUUCAUAACUGCUGAGCUAGAGUACGGUAGAGGGUAGUGGAAUUUACUGUGUAGCGGUGAAAUGCGUAGAUAUAGGAAGGAACACCAGUGGCGAAGGCGACUACCUGGACUGAUACUGACACUGAGGUGCGAAAGCGUGGGGAGCAAAC
rnacentral:rRNA from 1 species